rnacentral:rRNA from 1 species
CCUACGGGCGGCAGCAGUGAGGAAUAUUGGUCAAUGGGCGAGAGCCUGAUCCAGCCACGUAGCGUGAAGGAUGACUGCCCUACGGGUUGUCAACUUCUUUUAUAAAGGAAUAAAAUGAGGCACGUGUGCCUUUUUGCAUGUACUUUAUGAAUAAGGAUCGGCUAACUCCGUUCCAGCAGCGGCAGUAAUUCGGAGGAUACGAUCGUUAUCCGGAUUUAUUGGGUGUAAAGGGAGAGUAGAUGGGUUGUUAAGUCAGUUGUGAAAGUUUGCGGCUCAACCGUAAAAUUGCAAUUGAUACUGGCAGUCUUGAGUACAGUGGAGGUAAGCGGAAUUCGUGG